UGAGGUGUAUAGCUCAGUGGUAGAGCACUUAGCUAGGAUGUAUACAAGGCCCUGGGAUCAAUCCCCAGCACCACAA
rnacentral:tRNA from 1 species